rnacentral:rRNA from 1 species
CCUACGGGAGGCAGCAGUGAGGAAUAUUGGUCAAUGGACGAGAGUCUGAACCAGCCAAGUAGCGUGAAGGAUGACUGCCCUAUGGGUUGUAAACUUCUUUUAUAUGGGAAUAAAAUGUUCCACGUGUGGGAUUUUGUAUGUACCAUAUGAAUAAGGAUCGGCUAACUCCGUGCCAGCAGCCGCGGUAAUACAGAGGAUCCGAGCGUUAUCCGGAUUUAUUGGGUUUAAAGGGUGCGUAGGUGGGUUGUUAAGUCAGUUGUGAAAGUUUGCGGCUCAACCGUAAAAUUGCAGUUGAAACUGGCAGUCUUGAGUACAGUAGAGGUGGGCGGAAUGCGUGGUGUAGCGGUGAAAUGCUUAGAUAUCACGAAGAACUCCGAUUGCGAAGGCAGCUCACUGGACUGCAACUGACACUGAGGCUCGAAAGCGUGGGUAUCGAACAGGAUUAGAUACCCCUGUAGUC